AUACUAUGAUGAAGACAUCUCAUGAGUAACUCCUUAAAUCUUUCUCAUGCAUCAUAUAAACUCUCAUCUUUACAUUGAUGGAAAUAUGUGAUCUCAUUUCUCAAAUU
rfam:Citrus sinensis cultivar Ridge Pineapple sweet orange scaffold00198_contig_18, whole genome shotgun sequence.